GCUGGGUCAUGUGAGCGAGAAACAGAACCUUCAUUUUGUUCAAAUCCUGCAUCUCCCAUUCUUGGGCUGCCCCAGCUUAUGCCCUCUCUUGUAAUUGCCCCAGAGGCUAAUGCAGGGCCACAGAAACAAAAAGGGGACCGGACUGCCUGAGCAAUCAAAAUCCUUUACAGUGAGAGCCGUAAGAAGCUCAAUCUAUUUAAUUUAUCCCAGAGAGGUUGAGGGGGUGACUUGGUCACACUCUGUAGCCGAAUGCUGUUUAAUUUAGCAAAGGUAGAACGGGAUCCAGUAGCUAGACAAAUUCAGACUGGAGGGAAAUUUUUAACAGUAAUUGUUAUUAACCAUUGGAACCACUUACCAAGGGAUAUGGUGGAUUCUACAUCUUAUAGAGUCUUUAAAUCAAGACUGGGCGGCUUUUUCUCAACCAGGAGUGAUGGCUUUGAUGGAUGAAAUUCUAUGGUCUGAGUUAUGCAGAAGGUUACUGCUGGACAAGGCAACUAUAGUUGUAACAUGCGAAUGGAUCAAAGGAACAGAGAAGGUCUCCCUGUAUUAUGAGAAACAUGUGUUUUGACAUGACACAGUUGCAGCUGAUGUACCACCUUUUGCUGUAUCACUGCCAGAGCUCAAAAACUAAGCAGUGACAGGCUGGGUCAGUAUUUGCAUAGGAAACCUCCAAGGAACACCUCAGUAAUGCAGGAAAUAGCGGUGGAAACUAGUAGGUGGCGCCCUUCUCUGCAAAUCACUGCGGAACCAAUCCCAGCCUGACGUUAGAAGGUACUAUGCUGCUGGAGUGCUCCGUACCAGAUGAGAUGUGAAACGGGGGCUUAAUGGUCUGUGGGCGUGAUUGAGUAUUUAGGUUGGUGGCAGCAUUGUUUUGGUUAAUUUGUGAGUCCCAAAGUGUUUAAUCUUUGAAUGUUUUUAAGGACAUGUUUAAUGCUCCUCUGCAAUUGCCUCAACACUUUCCAAUCACAAUCCUGUGUUUCAGUUAUUUAUGUCUUUGACAGACUUUAAAUAUUUGAGUUGAAGUUUUCCAGGCUUGGUCUCUGCACCAGGUUGGGGGUUUUGUUUGGAGAGACUGAGAAAAACUUGUUCAGCUGUUUGAAACGCUGAGAGUUUUGCCAAUAGUAACAUUUUUCUGACUAGUUUUGUGUUUAACAGCUUUAGCAACAUCAUGGUUAGGAGAUGGCACUUGGAAUUUGUCAGGGGAACAGUCCAGAGAUCAGAGAGGUGUCUUACACUGACCCCAUGAAAAUCCAUCCAGAUUAAGCCAAUUUAUAAGACAUGGGGGGAGGGGAGAACACACCUGUACGUGUGCAGCAGAAUUUGUUCUACUCUUGCUCUUAAUUCUGUGAUAACCCUGCACAUACUCUGCAGCCCCACUCUGCCUACUGCAUCACAUGAAUACAUACAGGCUAGAGCUCCAGACAGGACACAGGCAAAGUGGAUUUUCCUUGGGGGAAAGCAGCACAUCAAAAUACCUUUUGGCCUAGGUAUAGUGGGCUGGGAGCCAAGACAUGAUGCAUUCUAGUCUCACCUCUUCCACUGCGCAGUAUAAAGAAUUCUGCGUACUUCCCAACCCUCUAUUAUUGAGCAAGUCCUUAGGAGGUAGGCAAGUACCUUCCCCAUCCACCUUGAAGAUCAGAUUGGUAACAAAACACCCUUUUUACAGAUAGGGCAGAUCUGAGAGUUUAUACAAAGUCACCUGUGACAGCCCAGUUUGGGGAAUGGCAAACCCACAUCUCAUCUACAUCGCCAUACUGUUGCUAAGAAAAGAAAAGAAAAAAAAAAUCUCUAUCUAAUGUGUGUGCUUGGCUACAGUACAAUUUGGCUUCUUCUGACCACGCAAAGCAUCCUUAACAAAGAGCACUUGAAAUUCCUAACUCUGUUCCUUUUUUAAUAGUAGUUUCCCCCAUCACAAGGUAGCUGGUCCCUGUGAGCAGAACUGGGCCCAAUGCCCAGAUGUCAGAGCUGGUGAGCCCAAUCCAGCCAAUUAAAAGGGACUGGACUACACUGGGGCCAAUAAAGGGCUGCCAGAGAAUAGGAAAUAGGAGAUGGAAGGGAGUAAGUGGGACAGGCUGUGCCUGGGGAAGGGAAGCCAUGGUGGAGUGUAAUUAACGCCUGUUGUGGGUCCCUAGCACAAAGGGUCAGGUACUUAUGGAAGCAGCCCUAGGGCUACUGCUCCAGGAAGGGAGCAGAGCUGACUUAGAACUGGGAAGCUGCCAGAUUCAGGUGUGCGGGAGACCCUGGAGGGGUGGCCCUGAAGCCUGAGAGAAAAGAAAUGAGCUGAAAGACAUAUAGCUUUGCUUGACUGUGUUAAGGAAACUGGCCGUGGCAGUGAGUGUUUGGAAGCUGUUCAGAAGUCCUGCCUAGGGACACCUCCCAUUUUUCACCUUUAAGGAGAUGAGGAGACAUAUACAAGAUACUGCAUCUGUGGUUUUACAAAGGAGAGAGCAAAUCAA